CGCUCAGUCAGCAGGGUGGGCGUGGCCUUCUCCCUGCCUGCAUCUGAAAUGCAGUUUAAAGGUCAGGAAGACUGAUCUUUCGCUUCUGAAUCCUCUGAGAGUUCCUCAGGCCCUCCUGUGUGAGGCCCAGCUGCUUCCUGCCUGGUCUUCCUGGAUCCACAGAGCUGCAGCUGCAGUUCCUCUUCCCCUGACGUCUGAGGCCGGGCCUGCUCCAGGUCGGAGGUAUAGCGGGGUGACGAAGAGGAGGCUGCAAUGACCAUCAUGUCUCUGUGACCACACGAUUACCCAUCGGCUCCCACACCCCUCUGCCUGCCAGGAAGCUGAGGCUCAAGAGAACUGAGAGGAGGGGAACAACGGCCGUUGAGGCCCCCGUGGGCCAAGCAGUGUGCCAGGCACUCUAUCAAACAAUGGAGGUAGGUGAGCUUAUCCCCACUGUACAGAUGAGGAAACUGAGGUUCAGAGAACUGGUUGCCCAGGUCACACAGCUUGGAGGAAGCAGAAUAUAGAAUGCUAUCUGACUCCAAACCCAUGCUUCCACUAUCGCGCCAUCCUAUCAGGCAGCUAACGAAUGAUAAUGAAUCUAUAACAACGUUAUUAUCUGAGCUAAAAAAAAAAAAAAAAAA
rnacentral:lncRNA from 1 species